UGCUGUGAGGGUGAUCUGGCUGUACUGUCUGUGACCUCAUGGUUACCCAGGGUUGAUUCAGCUGAUUUGAUUGGCUAGGAAGAUGUUCUCUUCCUCCCUCCCUGUUCCAUGUGUGUCCCUCCCGUAACUGUAGGCUCAAAGGCAAAGGACAGCUUCCCUAAAGAGGACCAUUCCUCUGCUAGAAUCUCCAAGCAAGUCCUUGGGAAGGAAUGUGCUGCCUUUGGUUACCUAGCAUCCAAACAGCAAAGGGGAAGCAGCCCAUAGGUCAUCCCUUGGGUUACCUGCUAUUUCUCUUUUG
rnacentral:sRNA from 1 species